UAGGGAAUAUUAGUAAUGGACGAAAGUCUGAACUAGCAACACCGCGUGUGCGAAGAAGGCCUUCGGGUUGUAAAGCACUUUUAGAGAGGAUGAGGAAGGACGGUACUCUCUGAAUAAGUCUCGGCUAACUACGUGCCAGCAGCCGCGGUAACACGUAGGAGGCGAACGUUAUCCGGAUUUACUGGGCGUAAAGCGCGUGUAGGUGGUUUGUUAAGUAGGGCGUGAAAGCUCCCGGCUCAACUGGGAGAGGUCGCUCUAAACUGGCAAGCUAGAGGAUGGAAGAGGGAGGUGGAAUUCCGGGUGUAGCGGUGGAAUGCGCAGAUAUCCGGAGGAACACCAGUGGCGAAAGCGGCCUCCUGGUCCAUUCCUGACACUCAGACGCGAAAGCUAGGGUAGCAAACGGG
rnacentral:rRNA from 2 species